CAUUUGGGCAGAGGGACCUUCCUCCCAUGGUGACUGCAACCCUUUUAAAUGUAGUAAUGCUCUGCCCAUCUGCACUUGCUCCUGUUGUGGUAAGUCUGAACAGGCCACGAUAGACUGGAAUGUGUCCCAGCUUGCCCAGACACAUCUCUCUGCUCUCCUCCCUCCUGCUCCGGGAAGAAUUAACAGCGAGGAAGAAGACAAAGGGCCUGGAGGCACUGAGUUGUAGGACCAGGAUGUUGGUAUCUGUUUGGGUAUUUCAUUAAAUUCUUUUCUGUUUCA